rnacentral:rRNA from 1 species
GAUGAACGCUGGCGGCGUGCCUAAUACAUGCAAGUCGAGCGAACAGACGAGGAGCUUGCUCCUCUGACGUUAGCGGCGGACGGGUGAGUAACACGUGGAUAACCUACCUAUAAGACUGGGAUAACUUCGGGAAACCGGAGCUAAUACCGGAUAAUAUAUUGAACCGCAUGGUUCAAUAGUGAAAGACGGUUUUGCUGUCACUUAUCGGUGGAUCCGCGCCGCAUUAGCUAGUUGGUAAGGUAACGGCUUACCAAGGCGACGAUGCGUAGCCGACCUGAGAGGGUGAUCGGCCACACUGGAACUGAGACACGGUCCAGACUCCUACGGGAGGCAGCAGUAGGGAAUCUUCCGCAAUGGGCGAAAGCCUGACGGAGCAACGCCGCGUGAGUGAUGAAGGUCUUCGGAUCGUAAAACUCUGUUAUUAGGGAAGAACAAAUGUGUAAGUAACUAUGCACGUCUUGACGGUACCUAAUCAGAAAGCCACGGCUAACUACGUG